UACGAAGGGGGCUAGCGUUGUUCGGAAUCACUGGGCGUAAAGCGCACGCAGGCGGAUUGAUAAGUCGGGGGUGAAAUCCCGGGGCUCAACCUCGGAAUUGCCUUCGAUACUGUCUGUCUUGAGUCCGGGAGAGGUGAGUGGAAUUCCUAGUGUAGAGGUGAAAUUCGUAGAUAUUAGGAAGAACACCAGUGGCGAAGGCGGCUCACUGGCCCGGAACUGACGCUCAUGUGCGAAAGCGUGGGGAGCAAACAGG
rnacentral:rRNA from 1 species